UACGGAGGGUGCGAGCGUUGUCCGGAAUCAUUGGGCGUAAAGAGCGUGUAGGCGGUCCGGUCAGUCGGUUGUGAAAGUCAAGGGCUCAACCCUUGAAUGCCGGCCGAUACUGCCGGGCUAGAGUCCGGAAGAGGUGAGUGGAAUUCCUGGUGUAGCGGUGAAAUGCGCAGAUAUCAGGAGGAACACCGAUGGCGAAGGCAGCUCACUGGGACGGUACUGACGCUGAGACGCGAAAAGCGUGGGGGAGCAAACAGG
rnacentral:rRNA from 1 species